rnacentral:rRNA from 1 species
UGGGGAAUAUUGGACAAUGGGCGAAAGCCUGAUCCAGCCAUGCCGCGUGUGUGAAGAAGGUCUUCGGAUUGUAAAGCACUUUAAGUUGGGAGGAAGGGUUGUAGAUUAAUACUCUGCAAUUUUGACGUUACCGACAGAAUAAGCACCGGCUAACUCUGUGCCAGCAGCCGCGGUAAUACAGAGGGUGCAAGCGUUAAUCGGAAUUACUGGGCGUAAAGCGCGCGUAGGUGGUUUGUUAAGUUGGAUGUGAAAGCCCCGUGCUCAACCUAGGAACUGCAUCCAAAACUGGCAAGCUAGAGUACGGUAGAGGGUGGUGGAAUUUCCUGUGUAGCGGUGAAAUGCGUAGAUAUAGGAAGGAACACCAGUGGCGAAGGCGACCACCUGGACUGAUACUGACACUGAGGUGCGAAAGCGUGGGGAGCAAACA